UGCCGGAAUAGCUCAGUUGGGAGAGCAGAGGACUGAAAAUCCUCGUGUC
rnacentral:tRNA from 1 species